GACAAACUCCGAAUGCCAAUUAAUUUAACUUGGGAGUCAGAACAUGGGUGAUAAGGUCCGUGUUCGAAAGGGAAACAGCCCAGACCACCAGCUAAGGUCCCAAAAUAUAUGUUAAGUGGAAAAGGAUGUGGCGUUGCCCAGACAACUAGGAUGUUGGCUUAGAAGCAGCCAUCAUUUAAAGAGUGCGUAAUAGCUCACUAGUCGAGUGACACUGCGCCGAAAAUGUACCGGGGCUAAACAUAUUACCGAAGCUGUGGAUUGUCCUUUGGACAAUGGUAGGAGAGCGUUCUAAGGGCGUUGAAGCAUGAUCGUAAGGACAUGUGGAGCGCUUAGAAGUGAGAAUGCCGGUGUGAGUAGCGAAAGACGGGUGAGAAUCCCGUCCACCGAUUGACUAAGGUUUCCAGAGGAAGGCUCGUCCGCUCUGGGUUAGUCGGGUCCUAAGCUGAGGCCGACAGGCGUAGGCGAUGGAUAACAGGUUGAUAUUCCUGUACCACCUAUAAUCGUUUUA
rnacentral:rRNA from 1 species